CCCGGCACAAGCGGUGGAGCACGUGGUUUAAUUCGAUGCAAACCGAAGAACCUUUACCUGGGUUUGACAUGUACGUGGUACGGAUCUGAAAGGUAAAGGACUUACUCUUUCGGAGUGAGAGCGUACACAGGUGCUGCAUGGCUGUCGUCAGCUCGUGUCGUGAGAUGUUGGUUAAGUCCCGCAACGAGCGCAACCCCUGCAUUCAGUUGCCAUCGGUAAGGCCGGGCACUCUGGAUGGACUGCCGGCGACAAGCCGGAGGAAGGUGGGGACGACGUCAAGUCAUCAUGGCCCUUAUGUCCAGGGCGACACACGUGCUACAAUGGCCGGCACAACGGGAAGCGAAGGGGCGACCCUGAGCGGAUCCCACAAAAGCCGGUCUCAGUUCGGAUUGCAGUCUGCAACUCGACUGCAUGAAGUUGGAAUCGCUAGUAAUCGUGGAUCAGCCAAGCCGCGGUGAAUACGUUCCCGGGCCUU
rnacentral:rRNA from 1 species